GAGUUUGAUCAUGGCUCAGAUUGAACGCUGGCGGCAGGCUUAACACAUGCAAGUCGAACGAUGAUUACUAGCUUGCUAGUAUGAUUAGUGGCGAACGGGUGAGUAAUGCUUAGGAAUCUGCCUAUUAGUGGGGGACAACAUUCCGAAAGGAAUGCUAAUACCGCAUACGUCCUACGGGAGAAAGCAGGGGAUCGCAAGACCUUGCGCUAAUAGAUGAGCCUAAGUCGGAUUAGCUAGUUGGUGGGGUAAAGGCCUACCAAGGCGACGAUCUGUAGCUGGUCUGAGAGGAUGAUCAGCCACACUGGGACUGAGACACGGCCCAGACUCCUACGGGAGGCAGCAGUGGGGAAUAUUGGACAAUGGGCGAAAGCCUGAUCCAGCCAUGCCGCGUGUGUGAAGAAGGCCUUUUGGUUGUAAAGCACUUUAAGUGGGGAGGAAAAGCUAAUAAUUAAUACCUAUUAGCCGUGACGUACCCACAGAAUAAGCCCCGG
rnacentral:rRNA from 1 species